GACGAACGCUGGCGGCGUGCCUAAUACAUGCAAGUCGAACGCACAGUUUAUACCGUAGCUUGCUACACCAUAGACUGUGAGUUGCGAACGGGUGAGUAACGCGUAGGUAACCUGCCUGGUAGCGGGGGAUAACUAUUGGAAACGAUAGCUAAUACCGCAUAAUAUUGAUUAUUGCAUGAUAAUUGAUUGAAAGAUGCUAUUGCAUCACUACCAGAUGGACCUGCGUUGUAUUAGCUAGUAGGUGAGGUAACGGCUCACCUAGGCGACGAUACAUAGCCGACCUGAGAGGGUGAUCGGCCACACUGGGACUGAGACACGGCCCAGACUCCUACGGGAGGCAGCAGUAGGGAAUCUUCGGCAAUGGACGAAAGUCUGACCGAGCAACGCCGCGUGAGUGAAGAAGGGUUUCGGAUCGUAAAGCUCGGUUGUAAGAGAAGAACGGGUGUGAGAGUGGAAAGUUCACACUGUGACGGUAUCUUACCAGAAAGGGACGGCUAACUACGUG
rnacentral:rRNA from 1 species